UGGCGUAAAGCGAGCGCAGGCGGAAGAAUAAGUCUGAUGUGAAAGCCCUCUUAAGAGGAACUGCAUCGGAAACUGUUUUUCUUGAGUGCAGAAGAGGAGAGUGGAAUUCCAUGUGUAGCGGUGGAAUGCGUAGAUAUAUGGAAGAACACCAGUGGCGAAGGCGACUCUCUGGUCUGCAACUGACGCUGAGGCUCGAAAGCAUGGGUAGCGAACAGGAUUAGAUACCCUGGUAGUCCAUGCCGUAAACGAUGAGUGCUAAGUGUUGGGAGGUUUCCGCCUCUCAGUGCUGCAGCUAACGCAUUAAGCACUCCGCCUGGGGAGUACGACCGCAAGGUUGAAACUCAAAGGAAUUGACGGGGGCCCGCACAAGCGGUGGAGCAUGUGGUUUAAUUCGAAGCAACGCGAAGAACCUUACCAGGUCUUGACAUCUAGUGCCAUCCUAAGAGAUUAGGAGUUCCCUUCGGGGACGCUAAGACAGGUGGUGCAUGGCUGUCGUCAGCUCGUGUCGUGAGAUGUUGGGUUAAGUCCCGCAACGAGCGCAACCCUUGUUAUUAGUUGCCAGCAUUAAGUUGGGCACUCUAAUGAGACUGCCGGUGAUAAACCGGAGGAAGGUGGGGAUGACGUCAAGUCAUCAUGCCCCUUAUGACCUGGGCUACACACGUGCUACAAUGGACAGUACAACGAGAAGCGAGCCUGCGAAGGCAAGCGAAUCUCUGAAAGCUGUUCUCAGUUCGGACUGCAGUCUGCAACUCGACUGCACGAAGCUGGAAUCGCUAGUAAUCGCGGAUCAGAACGCCGCGGUGAAUACGUUCCCGGGCCUUGUACACACCGCCCGUCACACCAUGGAAGUCUGCAAUGCCCAAAGCCGGUGGCUACCUUCGGGAAGGAGCCGUCUAAGGCAGGGCAGAUGACUGGGGUGAAGUCGUAACAGGGUAACCCGUAA
rnacentral:rRNA from 1 species